rnacentral:tRNA from 1 species
UAAAAGGUAAGCUAAUUUAAGCUAUUGGGCUCAUAAUCCAAUAAUAGUUGUAAACUUCUUUUAA